ensembl:lncRNA
AGCUGCUCUCGGGAGGCAACUAGCACCCGAGCAGGCCCCGUCCACCCCCAGCUGCGAGGCUGAUAGGCCUUGGCUGCCUUGCAGACCCUCUCCCGAGGGGUCCUGGGGGCUUCCGGUCGGAACGUGCUGUGUGCGUGCGGUCGGGCGUGCUUCCUGCCUGGGGAUACAGAGGGACCCCUUUUAGCUUCUCUCCCAUUUGGAUGAUUUGGAACCAGGUUUAAGGCAGGUGAUCUUUCCAGUAGUUUGCAGCAUUCCAAGUUUAAGUCCAGUGGAAAAGCAUCUUGCUCUCGAUAACAUCAGGCAUGGAUUAUCUGGUUUGAUCCUCACUACAACGCUACGAACCUGAUGACCUCCACUCAGAGAUAAAAAACUGUGACUUGUCCAAGAUUCCCUGAGCCCUAGUGUGCGCUGGGAGCAGAUUUCUGCACAGGCUGUCUCAGCCCAAAGCCCUGGCUGUCCGUCAGGACCUCUGCGUGUCAGUCACCCCCUCUUCAGUGACUUUGGCUCUAUCCAGAGGACAGCUGCAUUAUUAUUUUCCUGAGCAAAAAAAAAAACAAGUAACCUUACCCCUCACAGUGCUAUCCUGGGAUGGGUUCAGAGCACUUGUGUAUGUUAUUUUUCCAAUAAAUUUUGAGGAAUCGCUGCUUUCAAACCACAAUGUGAAGCCACCCUGUGGUAAUAUCAAAAUGAAUUUUUAAUGAUUGAGCACUAUAUAGGUGAAAAUUAUUGUAAUAAUUGAUGAAUUAAUCCACGCGUGGGCCGCAUACCCGCUAGAAGAGGGCUGAG